rnacentral:lncRNA from 1 species
GGGCUAACCAGUUAGUGGUGCUCAACGUCUACGACGUGGAGUGCUCUGCUCUGCUAGCAUACCUUCAUGCCAGAAGAGAGCGCCAGAUCCCGUUAUAGAUAGUUGCUGUGAUUGUAACCAUUGUGUCAUCUCACCAGCCUCUUGAAGUCAUCUUAUAGUUAAAGACAAAGUAAGUUCAUUCCUGUUUAUGGUUACACCUGUGCUUCUCAAAGACAGGUCUAGGCCCCACCUGUAACCUUAACUUCAAAUGGUUCUGUACUGUAUGUUCCAGGAAACAACCAUGUCUUUGUUUCAAAACCCAACUGUCUCACAACCCUCUGACUACCCGAUUCCACCCACCUUAGAAUCACGUCUUUGUUCCCGGAGGUCCUUAGGACUAAAUUAUUGCUUGUUAUGCUUAUUUUCUCCUCGAGGAAGGCCACCUGUUUUGUUCACCAGACCCCCCCAUUCAGUAACCCCCU